CCGGCGGCUAUAUAACACACUCCCUCUCCGAAGCAGAUAUCCGGCGAUUUCCUGCUCCUGAGCACGGCGGUGAAGCCAUGGCUAUCGUCUCCAGUGUUUCUCUCGAGCUCGUGUUGCCAUUAAUCCUGUGGGUUGCCGUAGAUGUCUUUGACAUACACUGCUAGUUUCCUGAUUCCCCAUGGGACAAUGUGUAGCCAGCUUGAUCCUGCCUGAUUCAAGUGUGGUAAGCAGCAGCAUGAGACAACAGAAUGUUAUGAGCUACAACGUACGGUUCGACCGAUGACGUCCCCUUCUUACAAAACCAAUGUCCCAGAAGUGAGCACCUCCCUGGAGCCUGUAUCCCUGUGUCAUAGCCUUGGAUCGAUAACCCGUGAGGCUCAUUGAAAGUGACCCAGUACUUCACUCUAUCUCCAAAUGCUUUGAAACAGCUCCUUCAAACUGAUUUCGUGCAAGAAAAUGUUACGAUUGUCAAAAUCGUUUCACAGCUCCUUCAAACUAAUCACAUCUCUUUCUUGGAUUAGUUUGAAGAUGAUGAUGAUGAUGAAGAAGAAGAAGAUUGUCACCUGGUAAGCUGAAGAAGCUGUCCCGAACACAAACCCAUCUGGAAAUUUUGCUCUGCUGAUAGAUUCUGAGGAAACAUGAUCAAGAGGCACGAUGAAGACGAGCAAGAGCGGAAACAGAACCAAGACUAGUCUCAUUAAAGAUUCCAUUUUUGGGUCGCAUGAAUAAAAGAGAAAGAGAGAGGAAGAUAAAGGGAUGAACUUUUUUGUGUGUCAAUGAAAGAUUUGGAGGCAAGAAAAUGGAGUUUUUGUGUGUGUGUGUUUGUAAAGUUGAAGAACAAAGAGGAAGAGUGCAAAACAAAAGGUCUCGUCUUUUUAAGGCUC